rnacentral:misc_RNA from 1 species
GAAGUUUUUAACAGAGAACUAAUAAACAUGGACUGAAGAAGCACAUAGAAGGAAAUCAAAAUCUUCACGCUCAGAGCAUUCAGCCUCAGCAUCCAUAUGAGAUGAGCCCAUAAGAAUCUAAGUAAAUAUCCUACAAGCAUGCCCUUAAUUGUUGAUGAAUGGAUCAAUGGACUGAUUUCAUACCAAAGAAAAAAAGAUACUAAUAUUUGACAAUCUUUUCAACUGUUGUUGAAGUCAAUGAAUUCACACUAUGCAGUAUCACUAACUGUAUCUGCACCCAAGCAUGUUUUUUUUUUUU